CCUACGGGAGGCAGCAGUGAGGAAUCUUGGUCAAUGGGCGAGAUCCUGAACCAGCCAAGCCGCGUGAGUGAAGCAGUAUUUCGGUAUGUAAAGCUCUAUCAGCAGGGAAGAGCAUGACGGUACCUGACUAAGAAGCCCCGGCUAACUACGUGCCAGCAGCCGCGGUAAUACGUAGGGGGCAAGCGUUAUCCGGAUUUACUGGGUGUAAAGGGAGCGUAGACGGCGGGGCAAGUCUGGAGUGAAAGGCCGGGGCCCAACCCCGGGACCGCUCUGGAAACUGCCCGGCUGGAGUGCGGGAGAGGUAAGCGGAAUUCCUAGUGUAGCGGUGAAAUGCGUAGAUAUUAGGAGGAACACCAGCGGCGAAGGCGGCUUACUGGACCGUGACUGACGUUGAGGCGCGAAAGCGUGGGGAGCAAACAGGAUUAGAUACCCGAGUAGUC
rnacentral:rRNA from 1 species